UCCUGGUACCUAGUAAGUGCUCAAUAAAUGUUAGCUAUUGUUCUGACUACAAAGCAGACACAGAUUCCAAUUUUGAACCCCUCUGCCUGUAACACAGAUGCCCCUUUGGGUCACAAACUGAGAUCUGCUUUGGUGUGAGCAGAAGGUGGGAUGGCAGUCAGGGACAGUGGCAACCACGGCAACCGUGGCAAGCGUGCUUUGAGAGCUGUUUCCGGUGGUUGUAGGGGUGGAACAGAGAAGGGCGGCGCUGCUGUGGCUCACGCUGGGAGCGGGGAGAUGCCCCUGCUCAGCCUGGGUUGCUCCACCCCUCAUUCCCUGCCUACCGCUCUCGAGUUCCUUCCCAGCGGGAGCGCCUGGGAAGACAAGCACCCGCAGGUUGGUCUAAGGUUUAUGAGGUCGCCGGCGGGUGCCGGCAGCCCCACGGAGACGCUGGACUGCCCCUCUGCGUGGAGACCCGUGCCUGCCUCAUGGAGCCCUGGUCUGAAGGCCUGGAGAUCACGGUCCACAGGCAGGCCUCGGAGGCGCUGGGAGCCUUACUCACAGAACAGUGCUUCUGUCAGACCCUGACAUUUCAGGGAGGAGGGAGGAGGAAAGAAGGGGUGUGGAGAGAGGCGGGGUCACACAAGGGCACCAAUUUUAAUGUUUGUUUUCAGUGGACUUGAUCUUCUUGGAUGUAUCACACCUCUGAUUGCGAAUGCCUGAAAAUACCCCUGCUAAUAGUAUAAUAGCCCUUGUCCCUUUCAGCAGGCCAUUCAUCCAAGCAUUGCAAAUCUCUGUGAACAUUCAUUAAUUAAGCCCCAAUUAAAUGGUUAUCAUUGACUGAAAAUAUAUUUACUGCAGCACAUUCAGCUGGCUACUGCUUUACCGAUUGUGGCUUCAGACCUGCCACCAUUGUGUACUUGAAAGGUAGGACAGGAGAGCGUCAGAAAAUCAGGUGACUCUGGUGUUGCACGUGGAGCUGCUGGGGAGGCUGCUCAAGGACUCCGAAGGGGCCCUCAGGUCCCGUCCGCUCUCUGUCCCAUUGCUUCUUUCCAUGCUGGGAGCUUCCGAAGAUGGUCCAGGUAUGCCGGACUUCCAGAAGAAACGUUACUGGUCUGGAUUCACAGUGGGAGUGCUUUCCUUUCCAUUUCUCACUUGAAAAGUGAGUGGGCCCCUAAAGUUCCUUUAGACUCAACAUUCAAUAACCUCUGCAGUUUCUUCUCUAGUAGCUCCCUUGAGUUACAACUCCACCUCUUCUCUGCCUUCCACCAGAGGCAAUUCUUCUGCUCAAGGGAGAGCUGCUUGGCCAAGUUCUGGUGGAGGUGGGGGGUGAAGAUGACUUGGCAGUGAUAGCUCCUAUCUGCCGGGCUAGGAGCCUACUAGGUGGCAGGCAGGGCUCAGCUCCUCUCAAGAGCCCUGGGAGGGGGAGAAAUAAUCAGGUGCGCCUUAGAUUCCAGCCCAAUGGGGAGGCAAACGGUAGUCAUCUGAAGCAUCUCACCCCCAUUUCUCCGGGGCACUGGAAGGAUGGGGUCUGCUGGCAUGGGGGGCUGAGAUCCUCCCGCCAGCCUAGAGCUGAGCAGCAGGAGGAGCAGAAUCGCCACCCAGGAGUUGGGCUGGUUAGCACAAAGCAAGGAGGAAGUCAAUGGGAUGAACUAGCAGUGAGGGAGCCUAGGCAAGUAUCUAGGAGCAGAAAAAAAGGGGAACGUGUUUCCUUUUAGGAGGCACCCGGCAUUGAACUCAGGACCUCGUACAUGUGAAGCAGACACUCAACUGCUGAGCUACACCCG
rnacentral:lncRNA from 1 species